AGAGUUUGAUCCUGGCUCAGAUUGAACGCUGGCGGCAGGCUUAACACAUGCAAGUCGAGCGGAGAGAGGUAGCUUGCUACUGAUCUUAGCGGCGGACGGGUGAGUAAUGCUUAGGAAUCUGCCUAUUAGUGGGGGACAACAUCUCGAAAGGGAUGCUAAUACCGCAUACGUCCUACGGGAGAAAGCAGGGGAUCUUCGGACCUUGCGCUAAUAGAUGAGCCUAAGUCGGAUUAGCUAGUUGGUGGGGUAAAGGCCUACCAAGGCGACGAUCUGUAGCGGGUCUGAGAGGAUGAUCCGCCACACUGGGACUGAGACACGGCCCAGACUCCUACGGGAGGCAGCAGUGGGGAAUAUUGGACAAUGGGGGGAACCCUGAUCCAGCCAUGCCGCGUGUGUGAAGAAGGCCUUAUGGUUGUAAAGCACUUUAAGCGAGGAGGAGGCUACUUUAGUUAAUACCUAGAGAUAGUGGACGUUACUCGCAGAAUAAGCACCGGCUAACUCUGUGCCAGCAGCCGCGGUAAUACAGAGGGUGCAAGCGUUAAUCGGAUUUACUGGGCGUAAAGCGCGCGUAGGCGGCUAAUUAAGUCAAAUGUGAAAUCCCCGAGCUUAACUUGGGAAUUGCAUUCGAUACUGGUUAGCUAGAGUGUGGGAGAGGAUGGUAGAAUUCCAGGUGUAGCGGUGAAAUGCGUAGAGAUCUGGAGGAAUACCGAUGGCGAAGGCAGCCAUCUGGCCUAACACUGACGCUGAGGUGCGAAAGCAUGGGGAGCAAACAGGAUUAGAUACCCUGGUAGUCCAUGCCGUAAACGAUGUCUACUAGCCGUUGGGGCCUUUGAGGCUUUAGUGGCGCAGCUAACGCGAUAAGUAGACCGCCUGGGGAGUACGGUCGCAAGACUAAAACUCAAAUGAAUUGACGGGGGCCCGCACAAGCGGUGGAGCAUGUGGUUUAAUUCGAUGCAACGCGAAGAACCUUACCUGGCCUUGACAUAGUAAGAACUUUCCAGAGAUGGAUUGGUGCCUUCGGGAACUUACAUACAGGUGCUGCAUGGCUGUCGUCAGCUCGCGUCGUGAGAUGUUGGGUUAAGUCCCGCAACGAGCGCAACCCUUUUCCUUAUUUGCCAGCGAGUAAUGUCGGGAACUUUAAGGAUACUGCCAGUGACAAACUGGAGGAAGGCGGGGACGACGUCAAGUCAUCAUGGCCCUUACGGCCAGGGCUACACACGUGCUACAAUGGUCGGUACAAAGGGUUGCUACACAGCGAUGUGAUGCUAAUCUCAAAAAGCCGAUCGUAGUCCGGAUUGGAGUCUGCAACUCGACUCCAUGAAGUCGGAAUCGCUAGUAAUCGCGGAUCAGAAUGCCGCGGUGAAUACGUUCCCGGGCCUUGUACACACCGCCCGUCACACCAUGGGAGUUUGUUGCACCAGAAGUAGCUAGCCUAACUGCAAAGAGGGCGGUUACCACGGUGUGGCCGAUGACUGGGGUGAAGUCGUAACAAGGUAACC
rnacentral:rRNA from 1 species